GUCAUCAUAAAAAUAUAUAUUAUAGUAAAAAAAAAAAAGUACUACAUAAGUAGUAUGAAUAUCCAGAGCCUGCGACCACAAGCCUUUGACAAUUCUUUUUUAUUUGAACCCACUUGUUCACUUCUUCUUCUUCUUCAUCAUCAUUUCUCUCAAGUGAUGUUUUUGUU
rnacentral:ribozyme from 1 species